CUGAGUUUGGUAUUGCGGGGCGUCACGAUCGCCUCCAGCGUGGUGUACAGGAGCAGGAGCUGACGGACGUGUGGUGUUCCCAAGGACUUUUCGGAGUCCUGCGGCGUGUUCCAAGCCAAGCGGCGAACACUCGUAGCACACUUCGAAUGAAAAGGUACAUAAUGUGCACCAGAUUCAGAUCAGCCGCUCUUGCUGCCUUGAUUGGCCUUCUUGCCGUUGCCAUUACAUUUUUGAAACUUGACAUGCUAGGUAAG
rnacentral:misc_RNA from 1 species